rnacentral:rRNA from 1 species
UUUUAUAUGAGAGUUUGAUCCUGGCUCAGGAUGAACGCCGGCGGUGUGCCUAAUACAUGCAAGUCGAACGCGUUGGCCCAACUGAUUGAACGUGCUUGCACGGACUUGACGUUGGUUUACCAGCGAGUGGCGGACGGGUGAGUAACACGUAGGUAACCUGCCCCAAAGCGGGGGAUAACAUUUGGAAACAGAUGCUAAUACCGCAUAACAAUUUGAAU